rnacentral:rRNA from 1 species
AUGUACAUGCCUACAACACAGUGUUAAUGCACCAAAUCCCAUUAGAAAUCCGUAGUCAAGCAUGCUUAGGCUAGAAUAGUAAUGGGAUGGGUGACCGCCCAGGAAGUCCUAGUGUUUUUUUAUA